rnacentral:tRNA from 1 species
UACCCCGUAGUGUAACGGUAGCACAGCAGAUUUUGGUUCUGCUUGUCUUGGUUCGAAUCCAAGCGGGGUAG